GUGGCACACUGAGCAGCCUGAGGUGGAGCAAAAUGGAGCAGAAAGCAAACGUCCAGUCCCUUCCCAUCAAGAGAAAGAUUCAAGAGGUAUUCUAUUGUGAUGUGGACCAGCUAGCACAGGUAGCGUCAAGUACACUGAUUUCCUCUGGAUGGGCGAGCUGCAUUGCUUUUCUGGGACACCAGUUGUUGUUUUAACAUAUUACAACCAUAGAAAAGAGAAGACAGCUUACAGUUUUUUCAGCUCAGCUUCAUCCUCUUGUGAGUGGCAAUGGGGAGGCUCUUUCCAGAAAGGACUCACUUCAAGAAUAGACCAUCUGGAUGCUGUCUCAGAGCUGCUCAGGGCAAAGCGUGAGGGAGAAAAUAAAAACCAAGAAACAGCAAGAGGCAACCCGGGAGUGACAAUGAAGAACUCGGACAAGCUCCUUAAACGAAAAAUGCAAAAUAAAAUUUCCUAGUAAA